GACAGGUCUCUACGAGAAAAAAAUCACCCUAAAAGCCCUGAUGACAAGAUCGCGUGAGAUGGGUUGUCCGAGCGAAAGUUUUUGUGGCUUUUGUAAGCAACUUUGCGUGUUGGCGUGGACAGAUGCAAUGAGUAAUAAUCCGUCGGCUACAAAUAUCAAAAUCCAUCAACAUUUCAAGGAGAAAUGAUGCAGACCGUGGAGCAACUUUUUUCGUUGUAAUUUGGGUGACGUGAUUUUUUACAUAUUAAUUUUUGUAAAGAAAAGUUAAAAUACAUUUUUUUAUAAAGUUUAAACACUAAUAAACAAUGCAUAACAUUUUUUUAUAUUUAAUU